UACGUAGGGGCCUAGCGUUGUCCGGAUUUAUUGGGCGUAAAGAGCUCGUAGGCGGCUUGGUAAGUCAGGUGUGAAAUCUCCACGCUCAACGUGGAGGGGCCACCCGAAAACUGCCAUGGCUUGAGUCCGGUAGGGGAGUGUGGAAUUCCCGGUGUAGCGGUGAAAUGCGCAGAUAUCGGGAGGAACACCCGUAGCGAAGGCGGCACUCUGGGCCGGUACUGACGCUGAGGAGCGAAAGCGUGGGGAGCAAACAGG
rnacentral:rRNA from 1 species